UUACCAGUUCAUCAAAAUUUAAAGUGUUCCUUUUGUUAAUUAUGGGAGCGUGUUUAAGCAACAACAAGAUGCAACAGUAGAUAUUGUGUAGCAACUUGUCACCUGUGGUAGCAAGUGCUAUGAAAUGAAAAGUUGGAAACGUGAUCCUGCAACCCUCACUUGACGACUCAAAUAUUACUACUCCCGUAUGGUCCAAAAUAAUAUCGCCAGUUAUAGAAAAGAAAAAGGGUAUUUCAGAUUGCAUUUAAAAUUGAGCAGGAGUCUGGAAUCUCAGCUUUCCUUAAAACAGUGUUAACACACCUUGCUGAUCUCAGCCUAAUGAAGAAAGUACCUGCAAAGAAAGCCCACCCACAAAAAGCAUGUUGAAGAAAGAAGUUUUCUUGAAGUGUAUUAACACUAGGCAUCUGAGGAUUGGAAGAGAGUGAUUUUUUCGGAUGAGAGGUAAUUUAAUGUGUGUGGUCUGAAACUGUGGACGGAGUCAGGAGAAGAUCUGAAGAAAGAUUGUGUUGUGCUAGUUAAAUAGUUCAGUGAAAGUGUAAUGCUGUGGGGAGUGAUGUGUUCUAAAGCAGUAGGAAGAAUUACAGUUUGCACAGAUUCAAUUAUAGGGUUAAAUUAAAGUGACAUUGUUAAAAAUGAGGUAGCAAAUGCUAAAAGGGAUCAUUUUAGUCGAGAAAACUGUGGGCUAUUCAUUUUCCAGGAUGACAGUGAGCUAGUCACCUUACCAGGGUUGUACAGGAGCGUUGUGCAGGUCUGAUGAUUGAGCAGUUAUGGUGGCCUCCAAAUUCUCCGGACAUGAAUCAUAUUGAAAAUUUGUGGGCUAUUAUGUCUUAAAAACUAAGUGAAUAUUCUUGACCAAUAGAAUAGAGUUGAUUGGGGGAAUUAUUCAUGCCUGGUACCAUGAAAUUGAACCUGGUGCACAUGAAAGAAUUAUUGAGUCAAAGACAGAGUUCAAGCCCUUGAAAAGGCAUGAUGUGAGGUGGACAUAAUAUUAAUUUUGAUGUAAUAUGUUUUGUACAAGUUAAUUUCACUUUGAACAAAAGCAAAAAGUGCAGUAAACCAAUGAAAUAUA